CUCCUCAAGAAUUAAUUUGAGGUAUAGCCUGCUCUAUGAAUUUAUUUAAAUGGCCGCGGUAUUCUGACCGUGCGAAGGUAGCAUAAUCAUUAGUCUUUUAAUUGAAGGCUGGUAUGAAUGGCUGGACGAGAAAAUUUCUGUCUCUGUUAUAAAUUUUGAAUUUGAUUUUUAAGUGAAAAAGCUUAAAUAUUUUUGGGGGACGAUAAGACCCUAUGGAUCUUUAUAAUGAUGAUUAAUAAAAAGUUUAGAAGUUACAGCUUUUUACUCUAAGUUAUUGGGUUGGGGCGACUGGAAGAAAAGAAUAUCUCUUCUUAAAAAUAAAUAUUAUUUAUAGAAUUAAAAAUGACCCUAAAUUUUGGUUUAGCAGAUCAAGUUACCCUAGGGAUAACAGCGUAAUCUUUUUGGAGAGUUCAUAUCGAUGAAAAGGUUUGCGACCUCGAUGUUGGAUUAAGAGAUCCUUGCGGCGCAGCAGUUGCGGAGGAAAGUCUGUUCCGACUUUUAAAUUCCUU
rnacentral:rRNA from 1 species